CACUGUGUUUUAAUAUUUGAUUUAAAGUUGCCACUGUGUGUUAGUUGGCUGUUUGAGGGUGAAACAUUUUGUUUUAACCAGCUAAGAUUAUACGCUAACGUUCACCACAUUUUAGCUCCAGAGUAGAGAAAACAACAUUUUAACCAGUUAAAGACAUUUUCUCUCCAUAGUCCAUAGAUUUAUCUGCAGUGGCUGUUUGUGAGCAGUAAAAACGUUGUUUUAACCAGUCAUAUGGAUAUUUCCACUUGCUAGAGACUCGUUAGCUCGGAAGCUAAUGGAAAUUGCAGUUUACAGCAGUUAAAUAUAAAAUAUAAAUAUUUUAAACUGAUAUUUUUUUGUUUUUUUGUUUUUGUCUUUCCACCUACUGUGCUGGAGAGUGAGCUGAAGUUUCCUGAUUCUCCUCAUGGAUGCAGUCUGAUUAAUCUGCAUUAUUUUAUAAUUAAUAUAACAUGUUACUUUGACAGCCCUAAAAGUAAUUAAAAACUGUGGAGAAGUCAAUGAAUGUAUUUAAUAACUAUAUGUGAUUUAGUUAUGUCCACUAUCUUGCAGACCACGCAGCCAACAGACAUAAGGUGCCUUCAUCUUCGGGGAUGAUCCCUCUGAAUUCUUCUAAACCUUCCCUGACGCAAGUGACAAGGACUGGUACAGUCAGAUGCGAGUGGGAAUCUUUUGCAUUGACGAAAAUCCUCCGCUCAACCCAUCCAGAGUAGGCAUCGUGUUGGAGGGAGUUGUGGUCAUGGAGGAGCUGGCCAACCUACCACAGGCCUUCUGUGAUCUUUUUGGACUGAUUUAUGCCUUGCACUUAGAUUACCCUAAAUGCAUGAAAAACACCUUCCAGUUCAUUCAGCAGGUGAUGCUCAACCUGGGCAGAGGUGAGCUUGCACCAAAAAUCCAAACACUGAAAAAUCAACUCUCUGUCUAAAACAGUGUUCUGAAAUAUACCACUGUUAGAGAUAUCAGUGCUUGGUGCUGUUGCAUGUCUAAAAUACCAUGUUUACUGUUUUGCACUGAUAUGUUUUUAAGUAUUUCCACUGUCUUUGUGUCUUUCUGAUGAUGAUCAGAUGAUGGUAUUUGUACUGAUCUUGCAGUUUGGUUCCAUCCGUAUUGCUAGGCAUGUUUUAUGGUUUUAUUAUGGUUUUAUUAUUAGCAGGACUUAGGGUCCUUGUAGUCCUCCAGCAAUCCUGUCAUAGUGGGAGCAUGGAAGACACUGGCAUUGUGCACAUCAAAGCUAAAGUUGUGGUUCCACUUUCCAAUUCGUGCAUGUAGAGAGCAGCAGAAGUUAACAGUGAAGAGGCAGUCUUCUUUCCCUUCUAAAAUAUGUUAUAUACCACCAGGGUCAACCAAGAACAAAUAAGAUGGUUUAAAAAUGUUUCCUGUGCCCCAAGUUAAAAUAAAACAUGAAAAGAA